rnacentral:rRNA from 1 species
GAUGAACGCUAGCUACAGGCUUAACACAUGCAAGUCGCGGGGCAGCAUGGGGGUUGCUUGCAAUCCCCGAUGGCGACCGGCGCACGGGUGAGUAACGCGUAUCCAACCUGCCCUUCACCACGGGAUAACCCGGCGAAAGUCGGACUAAUACCGUAAGUUGUCCAUUGACGGCAUCCGAUUUGGACGAAAGGUUUGGAGGUGAAGGAUGGGGAUGCGUCCGAUUAGCUGGACGGCGGGGUGACGGCCCACCGUGGCGACGAUCGGUAGGGGUUCUGAGAGGAAGGUCCCCCACACUGGAACUGAGACACGGUCCAGACUCCUACGGGAGGCAGCAGUGCGGAAUAUUGGUCAAUGGGCGUAAGCCUGAACCAGCCAAGUAGCGUGCAGGAUGACGGCCCUAUGGGUUGUAAACUGCUUUUAUGCGGGGAUAAAGUGGCCCACGUGUGGGUUUUUGCAGGUACCGCAUGAAUAAGGACCGGCUAAUUCCGUG